CGGAUACAUCCUUCCGCCUUCCACCGGGACUGUGCCUCGGCGCGGGAGAGGGGGUCACCGAGCUCCCCUGACUGACAGGGCGACGCUUCCUCUGCCGCUGUAGGAGCGCUUAUCCAAGGUGGCCGGGCAGCCGUGGCCGGGAGCCGGGCAGGGGCAGUGUCCCAGGCUCCUGAGGGCAGUAGGCCCGGGGACUGCCUGCCAGAGGGGUGAGAGGUGUCCCCUGUCACACCUUCCCCUCCCCAGCAGCCUGCGCCCCGAUGGGUUUGUCUUGCACAGAGGGAAACCAGGCAGCUGUUAAAGAACUAUUUAUCAAGAAUAUUGUGUUACUCCAUAGCUCAGCAUCCCAGGAGAGCGUUUACUCACCCCAGAGGCUUUUCCCAGGUCUGCUUGGCAAACAGUUUGCGUUUGUCUGGUGGGGGCCAAUUAAAGGAUAAGCAUCAUCUCCUGGCUUAUCUCUGGCAGCCCUGUAUGGGGUUUGUUGCUUAUGUUGCCCAAAUUCCAUUGUCUUCCACAAGACUCAAGAAGUCAGGAGUAACCCCCCGCCAUUUUUACUUCUGUGCCAUGAGCUGUGUCAGUCCACUAUGAGCAAUUGCCUGUUACAACCAGGAAUAGCAGAAACAACAGAAGCAAAAGGGGUUUUGUACAGUUACAUAUGUAUAUAUGUAUAUAGUCAUGGUUGUAAUGUUUUGCUCUGCCUUGAAUUUUUCAGGCUGUGGAGCAAUCAGAAAAUUUAAUAAUAACAGACUAUAGGCCAUGAUAUUUGAACCUUUUUUUUUAACUUAAAUCACAUCCAGAUACUGAGAAUGAGGAGAAGACAGGACCUAGUGGGAUGAAGAAGCUAUGCAAAUAAACAUGGACUAAUCCAUUACCAUGCACUAUAAUGGAUGGACAUCCUGGUCACUGUGGAGCAGUAACAACUUUACCUAGUUUCUUUCAGGGCCUGCAUGGAUGCAUGCCAGCCUGUCCUGCAGGAUAUAGUCCAACGAAUAGGAGAAAAAAUGUGUUUGAACUUGGCAUAAUUGCAAUGAACAUAAAGGGAGAAACAAGAGCUGCUUCAUCACUGCCAGCUCCACACUGUGGUUGGGCUCAGGAAAAGGAUCGCAUUGAUGGAUUAGUGCAACAACCCUCCCAGCCACGGAAGGGUGCAUCUUACAAGAAAAUCCAUAGGUGACUAAUCAGCCAGACUGGCAAUCCCUCACCCACAGUGGUAAGCAGCCUUUGAGGUCUGGGUAUACCUGAUAUAUUUUGGUAUACCUGGAGCUCAAGUCUAAAUCUAAAUUAAAUUAAGCUAAGCAUCUAAAUACAGAAUUUGAAACUUCACAUUAUGUGCCUUAUGAACAAAAACAAAAAGAGAAAAAACAGUUUCCACUGUGCAUAUUUUAGUCUUGAAUCCUGCUUUUCUACCACUUCUCAGCAGUGCCCAGUAACUUCACACCUUUGCUUUCAUGUUUGUUUGUUUUUUAAGUUAGUCAUCACACAGUGUCAUUUAGAAUCAAUUUAGCACCCUUCCAUUGUGCUGAGUGAUUCCAGUGAAUAAUGAUAGCAGGAUUAGCCAGCUACUAAUUAAAUGAUGCUGCCUCUUAGCUUGAAAAUGAAACACCUCUAUGGAAUUUAAGAAUUUCUGGCUUUAUUUAGGCUGUGUGUCUAAGGAGGAUGCACGAGGUUAGUGUAGACAGGGCAAUCUGAAGAUAAAAUAUUAAAACAGCAAAAAAGAAAAGAGGGGGAAGAAGAGAGCAAGAAAGUGAGAGAAGGGAAACAAAUUCACCCAGUCACAAAAGUGUUGAAUUGCAUGGAAAAUUUUCCACGCUUCGCUGAAUCCUGAGUGCAGUUUCCUGAUUUUGCCUUUGUACAAUGCAGGUAAAGGGUUCAUGUCUGUUCUCACUUCCAGUCACAGGUGUGUCUUCAAAUUUCUGCAAGCGAUAAGUGGUGUAAAAUAGGAUGUACUGCCUAUUUGUUGAAGCCUACAGGUGUACCUGUUCCAAUAAAGCAGGACCUAGGUUCCUUAUCA
rnacentral:lncRNA from 14 species